GAUGAACGCUAGCGGCAGGCUUAACACAUGCAAGUCGAGGGGUAACAUUUGCUGCUUGCAGCAGAUGACGACCGGCGCACGGGUGAGUAACGCGUAUGCAACCUACCUUUUACAGACGGAUAGCUUUCGGAAACGGAAAUUAAUACGUCGUAGUCCAUAUAUUACGCAUGUAUAAUAUGGUAAAGCCUUCGGGUGGUAAAAGAUGGGCAUGCGUGCCAUUAGUUAGUUGGUGAGGUAACUGCUCACCAAGACAAUGAUGGUUAGGGGUUCUAAAAGGAUUAUCCCCCCACACUGGUACUGAGACACGGACCAGACUCCUACGGGAGGCAGCAGUGAGGAAUAUUGGUCAAUGGGCGCAAGCCUGAACCAGCCAUGCCGCGUGCAGGAAGAAUGUCUUAUGGAUUGUAAGCUGCUUUUAUACAGGAAGAAUGGACACUACGAGUGGUGUUUUGACGGUACUGUAUGAAUAAGCACCGGCUAACUCCGUGCCAGCAGCCGCGGUAAUACGGAGGGUGCAAGCGUUAUCCGGAUUUAUUAGGUUUAAAGGGUGUGUAGGCUGAUAAAUAAGUCAGUGUUGAAAUACCGAUGCUCAACAUCGGCACCGGCAAUGAUACUGUUUAUCUUGAGUUCAGAUGAAGUAGGCGGAAUGUGUAAUGUAGCGGUGAAAUGCUUAGAUAUUACCCAGAACACCGAUUGCGAAGGCAGCUUGCUAAUCUUGGACUGACGCUGAUGCACGAAAGCGUGGGUAGCGAACAGGAUUAGAUACCCUGGUAGUCCACGCCGUAAACGAUGAUUACUCGUUGUUGGCGAUAUAUUGUCAGCGACCGAGCGAAAGCAUUAAGUAAUCCACCUGGGGAGUACGUUGGCAACAAUGAAACUCAAAGGAAUUGACGGGGGCCCGCACAAGCGGAGGAACAUGUGGUUUAAUUCGAUGAUACGCGAGGAACCUUACCUGGUCUUAAAUGUCUAUUGCAUUAGGUAGAGAUACCUAUUCCCUACGGGGCUAUUUACAAGGUGCUGCAUGGCUGUCGUCAGCUCGUGCCGUGAGGUGUCGGGUUAAGUCCCAUAACGAGCGCAACCCCUAUCGUUAGUUGCCAGCAAGUAGUGUUGGGGACUCUAGCGAGACUGCCACCGUAAGGUGCGAGGAAGGUGGGGAUGACGUCAAGUCAGCACGGCCCUUAUGUCCAGGGCUACACACGUGUUACAAUGGUCGGAACAAAGGGCAGCUACCCGGUGACGGGGUGCCAAUCUCAAAACCCGAUCUCAGUUCGGAUCGAAGUCUGCAACUCGACUUCGUGAAGUUGGAUUCGCUAGUAAUCGUAUAUCAGCCAUGAUACGGUGAAUACGUUCCCGGGCCU
rnacentral:rRNA from 1 species